AAUUGCAGAAUCCCGUGAACCAUCGAGUCUUUGAACGCAAGUUGCGCCCCAAGCCUUCUGGCCGAGGGCACGUCUGCCUGGGUGUCACAAAUCGUCGUCCCCCAAUCCUCUCGAGGAUAUCGGACGGAAGCUGGUCUCCCGUGUGUUACCGCACGCGGUUGGCCAAAAUCCUAGCUAAGGAUGCCAGGAGCGUCUUGACAUGCGGUGGUGAAUUCAAUUCUCGUCAAAUCGUCAGUCGUUUCGGUCCGAAAGCUCUUGAUGACCCAAAGUCCUCAACGCGACCCCAGGUCAGGCGGGAUCACCCGCUGAGUUUAAGCAUAUCAAUAAGCGGAGGAAAAGAAACUAACAAGGAUUCCCUUAGUAACGGCGAGCGAACCGGGAAGAGCCCAGCUUGAAAAUCGGACGUCUUCGGCGUUCGAAUUGUAGUCUGGAGAAGCGUCCUCA
rnacentral:rRNA from 1 species